GACGAACGCUGGCGGCGCGCCUAACACAUGCAAGUCGAACGAGCGAGAGAGAGCUUGCUUUCUCAAGCGAGUGGCGAACGGGUGAGUAACGCGUGAGGAACCUGCCUCAAAGAGGGGGACAACAGUUGGAAACGACUGCUAAUACCGCAUAAGCCCACAGGUCGGCAGCGACCAGAGGGAAAAGGAGCAAUCCGCUUUGAGAUGGCCUCGCGUCCGAUUAGCUAGUUGGUGAGGUGACGGCCCACCAAGGCAACGAUCGGUAGCCGGACUGAGAGGUUGAAUGGCCACAUUGGGACUGAGACACGGCCCAGACUCCUACGGGAGGCAGCAGUGGGGAAUAUUGCACAAUGGGGGAAACCCUGAUGCAGCGACGCCGCGUGGAGGAAGAAGGUCUUCGGAUUGUAAACUCCUGUUGUGGAGGAAGAUAAUGACGGUACUCAACAAGGAAGUGACGGCUAACUACGUG
rnacentral:rRNA from 1 species